rnacentral:hammerhead_ribozyme from 1 species
AUCCAGAUGAGGAGUCUCUAAUAAGACGAAACAAGCGUCCUGGAU